rnacentral:rRNA from 1 species
CCUACGGGAGGCAGCAGUGGGGAAUAUUGCACAAUGGGGGAAACCCUGAUGCAGCGACGCCGCGUGAGUGAAGAAGCGUUUCGGCGCGUAAAGCUCUGUCAGCGGGGAAGAAACACGGUUCGCGAGAGCCGCGGACGGUACCCGACCAAGAAGCCCCGGCUAACUACGUGCCAGCAGCGGCGGUAUUACGUAGGGGGCAAGCGUUAUCCGGAUUUAUUGGGGUUAAAGGGUGCGUAGGCGGAAUGCCAAGUCAUCGGGAAAAUCGCGGGGCUAAACCUAGCUCCGCCGUUGAAACUGGCGUUCUUGAGUGGGCGAGAGGUAUGCGGAAUGCGUGGUGUAGCGGUGAAAUGCAUAGAUAUCACGCAGAACUCCGAUUGCGAAGGCAGCAUGCCGGCGCCCAACUGACGCUGAAGCACGAAAGCGUGGGUAGCGAACAGGAUUAGAUACCCCUGUAGUC